rnacentral:rRNA from 1 species
ACGGAGGGGGCUAGCGUUGUUCGGAAUUACUGGGCGUAAAGCGCACGUAGGCGGGUUUGUAAGUAGGGGGUGAAAUCCCAGGGCUCAACCCUGGAACUGCCUUCUAAACUGCAAGCCUGGAGGUCAGGAGAGGCGAGUGGAAUACCGAGUGUAGAGGUGAAAUUCGUAGAUAUUCAGUGGAACACCAGUGGCGAAGGCGACUCGCUGGACUGAUACCGACGCUGAGGUGCGAAAGCGUGGGAGCAAACAGGA